rnacentral:rRNA from 1 species
GACGAACGCUGGCGGCGUGCUUAACACAUGCAAGUCGAACGGAAAGGCCCGGCUUUUGUGGGGUGCUCGAGUGGCGAACGGGUGGGUAACACGUGAGUAACCUGCCCUUGACUUUGGGAUAACUUCAGGAAACUGGGGCUAAUACCGGAUAUGCGCUCCUGCUGCAUGGUGGGGGUUGGAAAGUUUCGGCGGUUGGGGAAGGACUCGCGGCUUAUCAGCUUGUUGGUGGGGUAGUGGCUUACGAAGGCUUUGACGGGUAGCCGGCCUGAGAGGGUGACCGGCCACAUUGGGACUGAGAUACGGCCCAGCAGCCUACGGGAGGCAGAAGUGGGGAAUGUUGCCCAGUGGGCGGAAGCCUGAGGCAGCAACGCCGCGUGCGGGAUGACGGCCUUCGUGUUGUAAACCGCUUUCGCCUGUGACGAAGCGUGAGUGACGGUAAUGGGUAAAGAAGCACCGGCUAACUACGUG